GAGCAGAUGAUGAAAGAGAUUGUCUGACUUCUCAAUGAAGCUUCAAAUCUUAGAGCUUUUUAAACCUGAUGCUCG